rnacentral:rRNA from 1 species
AACGAACGCUGGCGGCAGGCCUAACACAUGCAAGUCGAACGCUCUCUUCGGAGGGAGUGGCAGACGGGUGAGUAACGCGUGGGAAUCUACCCUGCUCUACGGAAUAACGCAUGGAAACGUGUGCUAAUACCGUAUACGCCCCAUGGGGGAAAGAUUUAUCGGAGUUGGAUGAGCCCGCGUCUGAUUAGCUAGUUGGUGAGGUAAUGGCUCACCAAGGCGACGAUCAGUAGCUGGUCUGAGAGGAUGACCAGCCACACUGGGACUGAGACACGGCCCAGACUCCUACGGGAGGCAGCAGUGGGGAAUAUUGGACAAUGGGCGCAAGCCUGAUCCAGCCAUGCCGCGUGAGUGAUGACGGCCUUAGGGUUGUAAAGCUCUUUCACCGGUGAAGAUAAUGACGGUAACCGGAGAAGAAGCCCCGGCUAACUUCGUG